GUCCGUAUGGUGUAAGUGGUAACAUACCUGCCCUCUGUCGCAUAUUACCUCCAGCGUUUCACAGGUGACGCGAGUUCGAUUCUCGCUACGGACG